rnacentral:lncRNA from 1 species
AAAAUUCUACACAAAAUUACAUGUUUUGACAUAGGGUUGACUUUUGGUCAAUAAUUGACUUUUUGGUCAAAUAGUUGACCAAAGUCAAUUAGUUGUCCUAAACCCUAAUCCCACUUUUUAUUCAUCCUCUAGGACAUCCCAUCCUCUAAGGUCUUCUUCAUAUGCCAUGACUUGCCAAAGGUCUUCAUGAUCUACAUGACUCCAUGCCAACCUUGAUCCACACUUUGCCAAAAAAAUUGUUUCAUAUCAAGAUCAUACCAGCCCUGCACUGCAGCAAGUGGAAACAAAUUAGCAUUAUGCACAAAGCCAAAACCAACCAUUCAAGUGCAUGAUAAUCAAGCCAUACAAGCUUAGCAUAAACAUAGUGCAAACAAUUCAAACAUAGCCACAAAACCAUUAUAAAAUCACCAACAAUCCAAGAACCAAUUCAACGUGCAUAAGUUAAAAAGAAACAUAGUCACUAACAAUAACAUACAUGACAAAUAACAUCCCACUUUAUUGUCAAAAAUUCAAGAAGUCAUUCGUAACAAUCAUCAUGUUUAACUAGGCAUCACAAUACAAAUAAACAAACCAACACAAGACCAUAAUCAUUUAACUAUUUGAUUCCAGUUAUUGAUUCAACUCUUUUAUAUUAGCUUACUCUAUUCCAUAACAAUCCAAAUAUAGUUCACACUAACAGUUAGUACCUCACGUGACAUAUCUUACUAACCUGGCUCAAUUUAUAACACCCAUUAACAUUCAUUUCAUAAUUAAUUUUUGAAUUUGUUAAGUAACCAACUCCUAAUUGUCAAUUAAAACCAUUAACAGAAAAAUGCCAAGUCCAAAGCAUUGCACUAAUUCAAAUUCAAGUAACCAUGCAGUUAAAAUUCCUAACUUCUAACAGUUUCUCAUGACAAAGUUUCAGUUUGAAUUAACUCUCUAAUCUGACAAUGCCAACUUGCUUUAAUAAUACAAAUCAACAAAGGUCCAUAAGUGUCAUAAGCACUAAAUGAUGUAAUUUGCUAACAGUUUUCAUGUCUAAAAGUACACACAACCAAAUUCUUACUGUCAAUUUAAUCCAAACUAAUUUCUAAUUACACAAAUUCACUAACUACUUCACUAACUAUCAAAGCUGACUUCUAACUUACUAACUUCAAAUUUCAAAACAAUGUCAUAACUUUCUAAUUCACAAUUUUCACAUCAAGCCAAUUUCCCACAACAAGUCAAUCCACUAGUUUCAAACUAAUUCUAAAUUCAAUACUAACUAUCUUAAUUUCCAAUUCAAACAACCAACUGUAACUAUAACUCCAAUUUGUUAAUAACUAACUGACAUUUUCAAUCCUUCACUAUACUAAUUCACCCUAACUUUCUAACCAUUUAAUUCUAACUGGCAACUCACUUCAACUCUUCACUAACUUAGACUAACUUCUUCAUAACUUCAAACUGUCAACCUAACAAUAUCACUAACUCCAUUUAACUAAUCUCAUUCUAACUUCAACACAUUCUAACAUAACAGUUGCAAUGGGGUAGAAACUCAUUAACAAAAUUCGAAUUCAACAUAACCAAUAUCACCAUCCUAACUAACACCUCAAUCCAAACUCAAACGGAUUUUAACAGAAGCAUUAACAGUGUUAAAGUUCCAACUAACUUUCCUCUCAAAUUUCACUAACAGAAGUCGUUUUGAGAUUGAGAGAGAGGGAGUGAAAACGAGAUGGUUGAAUAAUGUAUGAGGUCGUUUGGACCUUCGCCGCCGUCGAAGGCGAUUUCCGAUGCGAUGAGGUUUGUUCUCCGGUGAGGCUGUUGGAAGAGGGGCUUGAGAGAGUUGAAGAGAGGUGAAUGUGGAAAUGAUUUCUU